CCGCUUUUGAAAUCCACAUGUCCUUUUAAUGCCAGAUACACUGAAUUUCCCCCCAAGGUAUUGUUUACAAAGGUAGCCGCGUUUGACCUCUUGCCGGCAGGAAGGGGAGUUUUGGGGGUAGAGAAAAAGCGCUAUCCCAAAUAUUAAUUCUCAGAACUUUCGCCAACUUGCGGCCUGAAAUAGCCGCGUGUGCCAAAUGCGAACUUACAAGCCUUCGCUCGCUGUAAAUCGCCUCUUUGCCAAAUCGAAUCGACAGACGUGCACAGACACACAAACAUACACAGGGCAUUUGUUUGAAGGCGGGCGCCCCAGCUCUUCACGAAAGCCCGACAGCGACUAGUCCCCAAGAGCGGUGCGAAGCUCAACAUUGCUUUCUAACCGCGGGGCACACGGACUCAACAUGGCACGCUCUCUUAACAGAGGCAGACGAGAGAGAUGGAGGGAGAGAAAAAGACGAGAGUAAAGAGGUUCUUCACUGGGACACUUGCUCAGAAGUCAGCCCAUCGACGGCUCUGCGCUAUUCGCACUCGGCACUCCCACCGGGAUUCCGGGGUUUAAAAGCCCCUCUGGGAUCCAGAAGCUUGCAGAGCCGAAGGCUCAACCUCGUGUGGCUGCACUCCCAGCGCCCAUAACAAUUGGGAGUCGGGAAUCCAACAUGUUUCCCACAUCCCUAACCCGAGAAGAGGUCUUCCCCGUUCUCAGAAAGAGGACGCCUCUUCUACGAACAACCAACCUCUUGCACGCAGCUGGGGAUGGCGAUUCGCCGAGCCUCCCUCUUAAGUUCCCGGGUUUCCCGGCUCCCGCCGUUCCUGACCGCUUUUGCAACAGCUGGAGGCGGCUGCCAGUUCCACCCUGGUCUGGAUUUAAGAGGCUUUUCCCCGCCGCUCUCAGGAAAGAAUGCCUCCUCCAGACAAGUGAUCUUGCAAGCGAUUAAUCCUUUUUGUUUUUAAGCGAGGAUGCGUGGCUAGACUGCAUCCACCACCCCCGAGCAGCGAUUUGGGUAGGCAGGCAUCACUGUUUCUGGGCAAAAGCAUUCCAGACACACAAGGGGGGGGGGUGAAAUUUAAGAGCAGGGGGUAAUCGUGCCUCCGUGUUUGUUGCUUUUUUAAAUCACGGGCACUAGUCUCUUCCCGAACACUCACAAGUGCUGGUUUUCCCCCAGAGCAAAAGAGACAGGGGGGAAAAGCGGGGGUGGGGGGGGGGUGGGGACAAGAGCAGGCAUUUUGGCUGCAUCUGGCAAGUCCCCCCCCCCCCAGGACGAAAACAACCUCAUUCCUGUCUUUUUGAAAAACAGGCCCCAAAAUAUACAUGUUAUAUUUACUCUCCGGGCUCCAAGGAAGGAAUAGAAUUGGUCCAGAGGUUCCCCUGGACCCAAAUAACAUCCGAUAACAUUCACACUCAGAUAUUUAAUAAAGGAUCUUUUGAGGUCCCCCCCCCCAAACCUCUGAAUAUCUUUUUUUUGGGACACAUCGCCCCACUCCCUCCCUGUUCCCCCCACCCCGAGAUGACGGCCCGAGGUCCCACGCAGGCCAGUUUAGUGGUUCUCCACCCCAAAGCACAGUCUCUUGUUCCGU